rnacentral:rRNA from 1 species
AUUGAACGCUGGCGGCAGGCCUAACACGUGCAAGUCGGACGGUGGCGCAGAGAGCUUGCUCUCGGGUGACGAGUGGCGGACGGGUGAGUAAUGUCUGGGGAUCUGCCCGAUAGAGGGGGAUAACCACUGGAAACGGUGGCUAAUACCGCAUAACGUCGCGAGACCAAAGAGGGGGACCUUCGGGCCUCUCACUAUCGGAUGAACCCAGAUGGGAUUAGCUAGUAGGCGGGGUAACGGCCCACCUAGGCGACGAUCCCUAGCUGGUCUGAGAGGAUGACCAGCCACACUGGAACUGAGACACGGUCCAGACUCCUACGGGAGGCAGCAGUGGGGAAUAUUGCACAAUGGGCGCAAGCCUGAUGCAGCCAUGCCGCGUGUAUGAAGAAGGCCUUCGGGUUGUAAAGUACUUUCAGCGGGGAGGAAGGCAGUGAGGUUAAUAACCUUACUGAUUGACGUUACCCGCAGAAGAAGCACCGGCUAACUCCGUGCCAGCAGCCGCGGUAAUACGGAGGGUGCAAGCGUUAAUCGGAAUUACUGGGCGUAAAGCGCACGCAGGCGGUCUGUUAAGUCAGAUGUGAAAUCCCCGGGCUUAACCUGGGAACUGCAUUUGAAACUGGCAGGCUUGAGUCUCGUAGAGGGGGGUAGAAUUCCAGGUGUAGCGGUGAAAUGCGUAGAGAUCUGGAGGAAUACCGGUGGCGAAAGGCGGCCCCCUGGACGAAGACUGACGCUC